AUAAUUCAUGGCUUGGUGGACAGAGUAAUGGAAAUGAAUGGGAUUCCCUUUGUUUCAUCUGGUGAUAUAUCGGGGUAUUAUAUUGAGCGGUCAGAUGAACCUGAGUUUCUUGCUGGAAGACAAGCUAGAAUCGUUUACAAGGGAAAGCAAAUUGGGAUUUUUGGCAUUGUUCAUCCCGAGGUAUUAAACAACUUCGACAUUCCAGAUCCUUGCUCCUUUGUAGAGCUUAACAUUGAAAGUUUGUUAUAAAAAUUAUUUGUUUCAAAUGUAUCCAUUUGCCCCUGGCACCAUUUAAUCAUUGUUCCUUCAAUCUGGGAAUCAAGAUCCUUCACUUCUUGAGCCGCAUACUUGUUCUUGGAAUUUAGGACUACACUAGCUGGGGAUAGGAG